rnacentral:rRNA from 1 species
GAGCGAAGCGGGAAGAGCUCAAAUUUAUAAUCUGGCACCUUCGGUGUCCGAGUUGUAAUCUCUAGAAGUGUUUUCCGCGUUGGACCGCACACAAGUCUGUUGGAAUACAGCGGCAUAGUGGUGAAACCCCCGUAUAUGGUGCGGACGCCCAGCGCUUUGUGAUACACUUUCAAUGAGUCGAGUUGUUUGGGAAUGCAGCUCAAAUUGGGUGGUAAAUUCCAUCUAAAGCUAAAUAUUGGCGAGAGACCGAUAGCGAACAAGUACCGUGAGGGAAAGAUGAAAAGCACUUUGGAAAGAGAGUUAACAGUACGUGAAAUUGUUGGAAGGGAAACGCUUGAAGUCAGACUUGCUUGCCGGAGCUUGCUUCGGUUUGCAGGCCAGCAUCAGUUUUCCGGGGUGGAUAAUGACGGUUUGAAGGUAGCAGUCUCGGCUGUGUUAUAGCUUUCCGUUGGAUACAUCCUGGGGGACUGAGGAACGCAGCGUGCUUUUUGCGAAAGACUCGUCUUUUUCACGCUUAGGAUGCUGGUGGAAUGGCUUUAAACGACCCGU